rnacentral:rRNA from 1 species
UACGGAGGAUCCAAGCGUUAUCCGGAAUCAUUGGGUUUAAAGGGUCCGUAGGCGGUUUAAUAAGUCAGUGGUGAAAGCCCAUCGCUCAACGGUGGAACGGCCAUUGAUACUGUUAAAACUUGAAUUAUUAGGAAGUAACUAGAAUAUGUAGUGUAGCGGUGAAAUGCUUAGAGAUUACAUGGAAUACCAAUUGCGAAGGCAGGUUACUACUAAUUGGAUUGACGCUGAUGGACGAAAAGCGUGGGUAGCGAACAGG